AACGCUGGCGGCGGGCUUAACCCAUGCAAGUCGAACGGAAAGGCCCCUUUGGGGGUACUCGGGUGGCGAACGGGUGAGUAAAACGUGAGUAACCUGCCCUUGACUUCGGGAUAACUUCAGGAAACUGGGGCUAAUACCGGAUAGGAAUCCUUGCUGCAUGGUGGGGGGUGGAAAGCUUCGGCGGUUUUGGAUGGACUCGCGGCUUAUCAGCUUGUUGGUGGGGUAGUGGCUUACCAAGGCUUUGACGGGUAGCCGGCCUGAGAGGGCGACCGGCCACAUUGGGACUGAGAUACGGCCCAGACUCCUACGGGAGGCAGCAGUGGGGAAUAUUGCACAAUGGGCGGAAGCCUGAUGCAGCAACGCCGCGUGCGGGAUGACGGCCUUCGGGUUGUAAACCGCUUUCAGCAGGGGCGAAGCUUGUGGUGACGGUACCUGCAGAAGAAGCACCGGCUAACUACGUG
rnacentral:rRNA from 1 species